UACGCAGGUGGCAAGCGUUGUCCGGAUUUAUUGGGUUUAAAGGGUGCGUAGGCGGCUUUGUAAGUCAGUGGUGAAAUACUCCAGCUUAACUGGAGGGGUGCCAUUGAUACUGCGGAGCUUGAGUACAGAUGAGGUAGGCGGAAUUGACGGUGUAGCGGUGAAAUGCAUAGAUAUCGUCAAGAACACCGAUAGCGAAGGGCAGCUUACUGGGCUGUAAACUGACGCUGAUGCACGAAAAGUGUGGGGGAUCAAAACAGG
rnacentral:rRNA from 1 species